CGGCGGACGGGUGAGUAAUGCCUAGGAAUCUGCCUGGUAGUGGGGGACAACGUUUCGAAAGGAACGCUAAUACCGCAUACGUCCUACGGGAGAAAGCAGGGGACCUUCGGGCCUUGCGCGAUUGAAUGAGCCGAUGUCGGAUUAGCUAGUUGGCGGGGUAAAGGCCCACCAAGGCGACGAUCCGUAGCUGGUCUGAGAGGAUGAUCAGCCACACUGGAACUGAGACACGGUCCAGACUCCUACGGGAGGCAGCAGCA
rnacentral:rRNA from 1 species